rnacentral:rRNA from 1 species
UACGUAGGGGCCUAGCGUUGUCCGGAUUUAUUGGGCGUAAAGAGCUCGUAGGCGGUUCGGCAAGUCGAAUGUGAAAUCUCCACGCUCAACGUGGAGGGGCCAUUCGAAGCUGCUGUGACUCGAGUCCGGUAGGGGAGUGUGGAAUUCCCGGUGUAGCGGUGAAAUGCGCAGAUAUCGGGAGGAACACCUGUGGCGAAGGCGGCCAUCUGGCCCGUAUUUGACGCUGAGGCGCGAAAGCUAGGGGAGCGAACAGG